rnacentral:rRNA from 1 species
GGGUUGUGAGGUUAAGCGACUAAGCGUACACGGUGGAUGCCCUGGCAGUCAGAGGCGAUGAAGGACGUGCUAAUCUGCGAUAAGCGUCGGUAAGGUGAUAUGAACCGUUAUAACCGGCGAUUUCCGAAUGGGGAAACCCAGUGUGUUUCGACACACUAUCAUUAACUGAAUCCAUAGGUUAAUGAGGCGAACCGGGGGAACUGAAACAUCUAAGUACCCCGAGGAAAAGAAAUCAACCGAGAUUCCCCCAGUAGCGGCGAGCGAACGGGGAGCAGCCCAGAGCCUGAAUCAGUGUGUGUGUUAGUGGAAGCGUCUGGAAAGGCGCGCGAUACAGGGUGACAGCCCCGUACACAAAAAUGCACAUGCUGUGAGCUCGAUGAGUAGGGCGGGACACGUGGUAUCCUGUCUGAAUAUGGGGGGACCAUCCUCCAAGGCUAAAUACUCCUGACUGACCGAUAGUGAACCAGUACCGUGAGGGAAAGGCGAAAAGAACCCCGGCGAGGGGAGUGAAAAAGAACCUGAAACCGUGUACGUACAAGCAGUGGGAGCACGCUUAGGCGUGUGACUGCGUACCUUUUGUAUAAUGGGUCAGCGACUUAUAUUCUGUAGCAAGGUUAACCGAAUAGGGGAGCCGAAGGGAAACCGAGUCUUAACUGGGCGUUAAGUUGCAGGGUAUAGACCCGAAACCCGGUGAUCUAGCCAUGGGCAGGUUGAAGGUUGGGUAACACUAACUGGAGGACCGAACCGACUAAUGUUGAAAAAUUAGCGGAUGACUUGUGGCUGGGGGUGAAAGGCCAAUCAAACCGGGAGAUAGCUGGUUCUCCCCGAAAGCUAUUUAGGUAGCGCCUCGUGAAUUCAUCUCCGGGGGUAGAGCACUGUUUCGGCAAGGGGGUCAUCCCGACUUACCAACCCGAUGCAAACUGCGAAUACCGGAGAAUGUUAUCACGGGAGACACACGGCGGGUGCUAACGUCCGUCGUGAAGAGGGAAACAACCCAGACCGCCAGCUAAGGUCCCAAAGUCAUGGUUAAGUGGGAAACGAUGUGGGAAGGCCCAGACAGCCAGGAUGUUGGCUUAGAAGCAGCCAUCAUUUAAAGAAAGCGUAAUAGCUCACUGGUCGAGUCGGCCUGCGCGGAAGAUGUAACGGGGCUAAACCAUGCACCGAAGCUGCGGCAGCGACGCUGAUGCGUUGUUGGGUAGGGGAGCGUUCUGUAAGCCUGCGAAGGUGUGCUGUGAGGCAUGCUGGAGGUAUCAGAAGUGCGAAUGCUGACAUAAGUAACGAUAAAGCGGGUGAAAAGCCCGCUCGCCGGAAGACCAAGGGUUCCUGUCCAACGUUAAUCGGGGCAGGGUGAGUCGACCCCUAAGGCGAGGCCGAAAGGCGUAGUCGAUGGGAAACAGGUUAAUAUUCCUGUACUUGGUGUUACUGCGAAGGGGGGACGGAGAAGGCUAUGUUGGCCGGGCGACGGUUGUCCCGGUUUAAGCGUGUAGGCUGGUUUUCCAGGCAAAUCCGGAAAAUCAAGGCUGAGGCGUGAUGACGAGGUACUACGGUGCUGAAGCAACAAAUGCCCUGCUUCCAGGAAAAGCCUCUAAGCAUCAGGUAACAUCAAAUCGUACCCCAAACCGACACAGGUGGUCAGGUAGAGAAUACCAAGGCGCUUGAGAGAACUCGGGUGAAGGAACUAGGCAAAAUGGUGCCGUAACUUCGGGAGAAGGCACGCUGAUAUGUAGGUGAAGUCCCUUGCGGAUGGAGCUGAAAUCAGUCGAAGAUACCAGCUGGCUGCAACUGUUUAUUAAAAACACAGCACUGUGCAAACACGAAAGUGGACGUAUACGGUGUGACGCCUGCCCGGUGCCGGAAGGUUAAUUGAUGGGGUCAGCGCAAGCGAAGCUCUUGAUCGAAGCCCCGGUAAACGGCGGCCGUAACUAUAACGGUCCUAAGGUAGCGAAAUUCCUUGUCGGGUAAGUUCCGACCUGCACGAAUGGCGUAAUGAUGGCCAGGCUGUCUCCACCCGAGACUCAGUGAAAUUGAACUCGCUGUGAAGAUGCAGUGUACCCGCGGCAAGACGGAAAGACCCCGUGAACCUUUACUAUAGCUUGACACUGAACAUUGAGCCUUGAUGUGUAGGAUAGGUGGGAGGCUUGGAAGUGUGGACGCCAGUCUGCAUGGAGCCGACCUUGAAAUACCACCCUUUAAUGUUUGAUGUUCUAACGUUGACCCGUAAUCCGGGUUGCGGACAGUGUCUGGUGGGUAGUUUGACUGGGGCGGUCUCCUCCUAAAGAGUAACGGAGGAGCACGAAGGUUGGCUAAUCCUGGUCGGACAUCAGGAGGUUAGUGCAAUGGCAUAAGCCAGCUUGACUGCGAGCGUGACGGCGCGAGCAGGUGCGAAAGCAGGUCAUAGUGAUCCGGUGGUUCUGAAUGGAAGGGCCAUCGCUCAACGGAUAAAAGGUACUCCGGGGAUAACAGGCUGAUACCGCCCAAGAGUUCAUAUCGACGGCGGUGUUUGGCACCUCGAUGUCGGCUCAUCACAUCCUGGGGCUGAAGUAGGUCCCAAGGGUAUGGCUGUUCGCCAUUUAAAGUGGUACGCGAGCUGGGUUUAGAACGUCGUGAGACAGUUCGGUCCCUAUCUGCCGUGGGCGCUGGAGAACUGAGGGGGGCUGCUCCUAGUACGAGAGGACCGGAGUGGACGCAUCACUGGUGUUCGGGUUGUCAUGCCAAUGGCACUGCCCGGUAGCUAAAUGCGGAAGAGAUAAGUGCUGAAAGCAUCUAAGCACGAAACUUGCCCCGAGAUGAGUUCUCCCUGACCCUUUAAGGGUCCUGAAGGAACGUUGAAGACGACGACGUUGAUAGGCCGGGUGUGUAAGCGCAGCGAUGCGUUGAGCUAACCGGUACUAAUGAACCGUGAGGCUUAACCUUACAACGCCGAAGCUGUU